GACGAACGCUGGCGGCGUGCCUAAUACAUGCAAGUCGAACGCUGAAGGAGGAGCUUGCUCUUCUGGAUGAGUUGCGAACGGGUGAGUAACGCGUGGGUAACCUGCCUGGUAGCGGGGGAUAACUAUUGGAAACGAUAGCUAAUACCGCAUAACAGUAGAUGUUGCAUGACACUUGCUUAAAAGGUGCAAUUGCAUCACUACCAGAUGGACCUGCGUUGUAUUAGCUAGUUGGUGGGGUAACGGCUCACCAAGGCGACGAUACAUAGCCGACCUGAGAGGGGGAUCGGCCACACUGGGACUGAGACACGGCCCAGACUCCUACGGGAGGCAGCAGUAGGGAAUCUUCGGCAAUGGACGGAAGUCUGACCGAGCAACGCCGCGUGAGUGAAGAAGGUUUUCGGAUCGUAAAGCUCUGUUGUAAGAGAAGAACGAGUGUGAGAGUGGAAAGUUCACACUGUGACGGUAUCUUACCAGAAAGGGACGGCUAACUACGUG
rnacentral:rRNA from 1 species